GGACUACAGGCACCUUAUCUAACUUCUUGGUCUACCUUACCACUGUCUUCAACAUGAAAAGCUUCACAGCUGCAACUCUCAUUAACAUUUUCACUGGUAACACCAACUUUGCAACCUUGCUAGGAGCAUUCCUUUGCGACACCUUUUUCGGCCGCUACAAGACAUUGGCAUUUGCUUGUAUAGCAUCUUUUAUGGGGAUGCUGGUAUUAACACUGACAGCCGC
rnacentral:misc_RNA from 1 species